rnacentral:rRNA from 1 species
GGAAGGUGGGGAUGAUGUCAAGUCAGCAUGGCCUUUAGUAUCCUGGGCUACACACACGCUACAAUGGCCAACACAAUAGGUUGCUAAGCCGCGAGGUGGCGCCAAUCCAUAAAGUUGGUCUCAGUUCAGAUUGUAGGCUGCAACCCGCCUGCAUGAAGAUGGAGUUGCUAGUAACCGCAAGGUCAGCUAUACUGCGGUGAAUACGUUCCCGGGGCUU